rnacentral:ribozyme from 1 species
GGUAGGAGUACUGCAUUAUUAAGAUAUGGCUCCAAAGCCCCUCCAAGGAUAAAAAAGGCCUCCCAUUCCCAUUUCCUACUCAAUACUUCCUCGGCGUACAAAGCGGUAAAAUGUCACUCCAAAUAUUUGAAUUUGGAUGUACGGGGAAAACUAACCUCUUGGAAGGAUGGGUCAAUGACUUCAAUUGAUGGAA